AGCCUGAUGCAGCGACGCCGCGUGAGGGAUGGAGGCCUUCGGGUUGUAAACCUCUUUCGCCAGUGAAGCAGGCCUGUCCCUUUUGUGGGUGGGUUGACGGUAGCUGGAUAAGAAGCGCCGGCUAACUACGUGCCAGCAGCCGCGGUAAUACGUAGGGCGCGAGCGUUGUCCGGAAUUAUUGGGCGUAAAGAGCUCGUAGGCGGCUGGUCGCGUCUGUCGUGAAAUCCUCUGGCUUAACUGGGGGCUUGCGGUGGGUACGGGCCGGCUUGAGUGCGGUAGGGGAGACUGGAACUCCUGGUGUAGCGGUGGAAUGCGCAGAUAUCAGGAAGAACACCGGUGGCGAAGGCGGGUCUCUGGGCCGUUACUGACGCUGAGGAGCGAAAGCGUGGGGAGCGAACAGGAUUAGAUACCCUGGUAGUCCACGCCGUAAACGUUGGGCACUAGGUGUGGGGGGCCUUUUCCGGGUCUUCCGCGCCGUAGCUAACGCAUUAAGUGCCCCGCCUGGGGAGUACGGCCGCAAGGCUAAAACUCAAAGGAAUUGACGGGGGCCCGCACAAGCGGCGGAGCAUGCGGAUUAAUUCGAUGCAACGCGAAGAACCUUACCAAGGCUUGACAUGUGCCGGUCGGCUCCGGGGACGGGGUUUCCUCCUUGUGGGGCCGGUUCACAGGUGGUGCAUGGUUGUCGUCAGCUCGUGUCGUGAGAUGUUGGGUUA
rnacentral:rRNA from 1 species